UACGGAGGGGGCUAGCGUUGUUCGGAAUUACUGGGCGUAAAGCGCACGUAGGCGGCUUUGUAAGUUAGAGGUGAAAGCCCGGGGCUCAACUCCGGAACUGCCUUUAAGACUGCAUCGCUUGAAUCAUGGAGAGGUCAGUGGAAUUCCGAGUGUAGAGGUGAAAUUCGUAGAUAUUAGGAAGAACACCGGUGGCGAAGGCGGCCAUCUGGCUCGGUACUGACGCUCAGGCGCGAAAGCGUGGGGAG
rnacentral:rRNA from 1 species